ensembl:lncRNA
CCCAGAAGGUUUUCGACGAGAAGAUGUAAACAGGGAGAGCAAAUUUUUAAAAUUACAAAAUAGCCCCAACUCCUCUCCUACAUUCAUGGCCGGUGGGUACAGCUUCAAUGGAGGGUCGUUUGGCAACAUCCAAUACUAUUAAGAAUGCACAAACUUUCCUGCUUUGCAAUUCCACUUGUAGGACGUUAUCUUACAGAGAGAGAGCUGCUCAGUGGAAAACGAUGUACGAUGCACAUGCAAAGCUAUUCAUUGACUUAGCGCAAAAGAAAAAGUAAACAACCUAGCUAUCCAUCCAGAGGGGAGUGGCUGAAUAAAUAUAUCCAUAGAAUAGCAUACUCUGUCACCUUUAAAGAAAAAUGAGAAGGUCUCUGUGCCUGAUAGGAAGCUGUCUCCAAGACGGAUUGAGUGACCAAAGCGAGAUGCAGAGAACACGUGUAGCACGCAUGUGUAUGUGCAUAUAUAGUAGACGUGUGUAUGUAUGUGCAUGCGAUUGCUUACAGAUGCAUGGAGGGCCCCUGAAUAAAGAAACAAGAAAUCGGUAAUGCUGGUCCCUCCAGGGAGGGGCCGGGGUGGGAGGGAGAUUUUGGACUACACACCAUGUGCCUUUUAGAUCCUGGACCAUGUGAAUGUAUUGCCUAUGAAUAACAAAGUGCCAUAAAAUAACCAUUUUAUCUCAUUGCAGAAAAUCAUGUUUCUUUGUCCCUCUUAUUUAUAACCAGACCUGACAUUUACUGAGCUGGUGAACAGUGACUCUGCUUUGACUUUAAGACAGAUUUCUCAACCGGGGCAUCAUCGACGUUUGGGACAGAAUUGGUGUCUGUGGUGGGGCCAUCUUGUGCACUGUGGGGUGUUGAGCACCAUCCCUGGCCUCCACCCCCUAGAUGCCAGCAGCACCCCCUCCUCGCAUUGUGACAACCAAACAGGUCUCCAGACAUUGCCCAGUGCCCGCUGCGGGGCAAACUGGACCCCAGCUGAGAACCACGGCGUUGAGCGGCUGAACCCAGUACCCGGCUCGUGAGAAAGCUCAGCAGAUACAAGGAUCACCUCUCCUUCGAUUCUCGUAAGGGGGAUACAAAGUCAGAACAGUGACCCUCUUCCCAGGUGAGAUAUCCCAGGCUCCCGGAACGUACAAACCUUUCCCGGCGCAGAAGCAGGAGUGGAACUCGGCCCUGGACCGGUCCAGAUGCUGGGUCCUCAAGCCCUGCCCUCCAGCGUGACAAUGGCCCUCGAGUUCUUUGGUUCUACUGCAGGAGUCAUUCCAAACCCCUCUGAAUGUUGCCCGUCCUCGGAGUUUCCAGGCAACGAGUAUAUAUCCUGAAUAUGGUGUAUUAAUGGAACAGAGGCCAUCCUGGACCCAGCAAAACCAUCGGCAUUUGUCUUCCUGAGCUGGGCUCAAGCUGACCUCUGUCUGACUCCCACGUGGAAGAGAAUCAUCCGUAAUAGAAAAAAUAAUGGAUAAAAAUUGGUGCUGCCAGCACCCAAAGACCUCAUCAGAUUCCGGGGGGGCAGGCCUGACACAAACUAUGAUGAAAGGGGCUCUCCUGGCCCGACGACUAAUUAACUGUGUUCUUCCAAACACCGCUGGGCAGCUGAACAGCGGGGAGAGGCUGCCAAAACAGAGAACCACAAAGAGGGUGGCUGAGAACAACAGAAAUUUUCCCUCUCACUGAAGUCUGAAAUCAAGAUGUGGACAGAGCCACGCUCCCUCUGAAACCUGGAGGGAAUUCUUCUUGUCUCUUCCUAGCUUCUCGGGGUCCGCUGGCGAUCCUUGCCGAGCCUUGGCUUGUAUCACCCCCAUCCUCCGUCCAACCCGUGGAGCUCUCCUGUGUCUCUCUCUCUGCAUGGCCAUCUUCUAGGGACACCAGUUAUUUGGAUUAGGGGCCCACCCCACUCCAGUAUGACCUCACCUCUGCAAUGGCCCUAUUUCCAAAUAAGGUCACAGUCUGAG